GAUGAAGAACGUAGCGAAAUGCGAUACUUGGUGUGAAUUGCAGAAUCCCGUGAACCAUCGAGUCUUUGAACGCAAGUUGCGCCCGAAGCCAUUAGGCCGAGGGCACGCCUGCCUGGGCGUCACACGUCGUUGCCCCCCCAUCUACUCCUUCGGGAUUGCGGGGGGCGGAUGAUGGCCUCCCGUGCGCCUCGUCGCGCGGUUGGCAUAAAUGCCAAGUCCUCGGCGACGCACGCCACGACAAUCGGUGGUUGCGAAACCUCGGUUGCCCGUCGUGUGCGGUCGUCGCGCAUCGAGGGCUCGAAAAAAUUGUCGGGCUCCGGCUCGGCUUUCAACGCGACCCCAGGUCAGGCGGGGUUACCCGCUGAAUUUAAGCAUAUCAAUAAGCGGAAGA
rnacentral:misc_RNA from 1 species